rnacentral:rRNA from 1 species
UACAGAGGUCCCAAGCGUUGUUCGGAUUCACUGGGCGUAAAGGGUGCGUAGGUGGUGAAUUAAGUCGGGUGUGAAAUCUCCGGGCUCAACCCGGAGCGUGCGCCCGAAACUGAUUUGCUAGAGGAUAGGAGGGGAGACUGGAAUUCUCGGUGUAGCAGUGAAAUGCGUAGAUAUCGAGAGGAACACCGGUGGCGAAGGCGAGUCUCUGGACUAUUCCUGACACUGAAUCACGAAAGCCGGGGGAGCAAACAGG